CAUAGGUUAAUGAGGCGAACCGGGGGAACUGAAACAUCUAAGUACCCCGAGGAAAAGAAAUCAACCGAGAUUCCCCCAGUAGCGGCGAGCGAACGGGGAGCAGCCCAGAGCCUGAAUCAGUGUGUGUGUUAGUGGAAGCGUCUGGAAAGGCGCGCGAUACAGGGUGACAGCCCCGUACACAAAAAUGCACAUAUUGUGAGCUCGAUGAGUAGGGCGGGACACGUGGUAUCCUGUCUGAAUAUGGGGGGACCAUCCUCCAAGGCUAAAUACUCCUGACUGACCGAUAGUGAACCAGUACCGUGAGGGAAAGGCGAAAAGAACCCCGGCGAGGGGAGUGAAAAAGAACCUGAAACCGUGUACGUACAAGCAGUGGGAGCACGCUUAGGCGUGUGACUGCGUACCUUUUGUAUAAUGGGUCAGCGACUUAUAUUCUGUAGCAAGGUUAACCGAAUAGGGGAGCCGAAGGGAAACCGAGUCUUAACUGGGCGUUAAGUUGCAGGGUAUAGACCCGAAACCCGGUGAUCUAGCCAUGGGCAGGUUGAAGGUUGGGUAACACUAACUGGAGGACCGAACCGACUAAUGUUGAAAAAUUAGCGGAUGACUUGUGGCUGGGGGUGAAAGGCCAAUCAAACCGGGAGAUAGCUGGUUCUCCCCGAAAGCU
rnacentral:rRNA from 1 species